UGAUCCUGGCUGAGAACGAACGCUGGCGGUAUGCUUAACACAUGCAAGUCGAGCGAGAACAAAGGGGCUUGCUCUUUGGGAAAGCGGCGCACGGGUGAGUAACACGUGGAUAAUGUGCCCUUGGACUCGGAAUAACUCACCGAGAGGUGCGCUAAUACCGGAUACGCUCCUUUUUGGUUCGCCAUUGAGGAGGAAAGCGGGGCGACUCGCAUCCAAGGAUCAGUCCGCGACCUAUCAGCUUGUUGGCGGGGUAAUGGCCCACCAAGGCAACGACGGGUAGCUGGUCUUAGAGGACGAUCAGCCACACUGGGACUGAGGCACGGCCCAGACUCCUACGGCAGGCAGCAGUGGGGAAUAUUGGACAAUGGGCGAUAGUCUGAUCCAGCAAUACCGCGUGAGUGAUGAAGGCCUUCGGGUUGUAAAGCUCUGUCGGGAGGAACGAAAAAGCCAGCUAAUAACUGGUGUUGACGGUACCUUCAAAGGAAGCACCGGCUAACUCUGUGCCAGCAGCCGCGGUAAUACAGAGGGUGCAAGCGUUGCUCGGAAUUACUGGGCGUAAAGCGAGUGUAGGCGGCUUGGUUAGUCAGAUGUGAAAGCCCUCGGCUUAACCGAGGAAGUGCAUCUGAUACUGCCAAGCUAGAGUGUCGGAGGGGAUGGCGGAAUUCCCGGUGUAGAGGUGAAAUUCGUAGAUAUCGGGAGGAACACCCGUGGCGAAGGCGGCCAUCUGGAAGACAACUGACGCUGAGACUCGAAAGCGUGGGGAGCAAACAGGAUUAGAUACCCUGGUAGUCCACGCUGUAAACGAUGAGUGCUAGGUGUUGCGGGUAUUGACCCCCGCAGUGCCAAAGCUAACGCGUUAAGCACUCCGCCUGGGGAGUACGGUCGCAAGAUUAAAACUCAAAGGAAUUGACGGGGGCUCGCACAAGCGGUGGAGCAUGUGGUUUAAUUCGACACUACGCGAGGAACCUUACCUAGGCUUGACAUGCAUUUGACAGUUGUGGAAACACAAUCUCUCAGAUUUCGGUUUGAGCAGAUGCACAGGUGCUGCAUGGCUGUCGUCAGCUCGUGUCGUGAGAUGUUCGGUUAAGUCCUCUAACGAGCGCAACUCCUAUCGUCAGUUGCUAUUGUCUUUAUGGCAAGCACUCUGGCGAAACUGCCUGGGAAACCAGGAGGAAGGCGGGAACGACGUCAAGUCAUCAUGGUCCUUAUGCCUAGGGCUACACACGUGUUACAAUGGCCAGCACAAAGGGCUGCGGACUCGUAAGAGCAAGCUAAUCCCACAAAGCUGGU
rnacentral:rRNA from 1 species